AUUGAUCGCUAGCGGGAUGCUUUACACAUGCAAGUCGACCGAGUGGCGGACGGGUGAGUAAUAUAUCGGAACGUGCCCAGUAGCGGGGUAUAACUACCCGAAAGAGUGGCUAAUACUGCAUUCCAUUGGAGCGGCCGAUAUGGGAUUAGCGAGUGGGUGGGGUAAAGGCUCACCAAGGCAACGAUCCGUAGCUGGUUUGAGAGGACGACCAGCCACACUUGAAUUGUGAAACGGCCCAGACUCCAACGGGAGGCAGCAGUGGGGAAUUGUGGACAAUGGGGGAAACCCUGACCAAGACAUGCCGAGUGUAUGAGAAGGCCUUCGGGUUGUAAAGUACUUUUGACGGGGAAGCGGUAUCUGCAGAAUAAGCACCGGCUAACUACGUGCCAGCAGCCGCGGUAAUAC
rnacentral:rRNA from 1 species